GGCUGGCCAGAGUGCAGUGGUGUUUACAACUAACUGAUCACAACCAUUUACAGAUUUAUUUGUUUCUUCUUCACUCUCACUGCUUUACUUGACUAGUCUUAA
ensembl:misc_RNA Y_RNA Y RNA